UUUUAACUGUAAUAUUGCAGUGUUCUUCCUUAGUUACAUCUGUUGCUUUGUAGUUUCUUAGCUUCACCUUUUGCUCCUUUAAGCACCUGAACACAGCUUGGCAUUCAUAAAAUCUACUGGUGGUAAGGUAUGAUAUACUACAUGUAUGACUUCUUUAGAUAGUCACUUUGAAAGGUUGUCCAUACUUAAUAGGCCUCACCAAUUUUUCAGUUCGGUUAAAUCAGGAAAUUUUGAACUUAUGAUAAUGGUUGUGCACUAUUUUGUACCUCCCAUACUGUAACCAAGUAGGGGGGAAGGAACACCACCUCCUUACUGUCAGCUGAAGGAGAGGACAUUCAUGUCCCCUGAUCCCUGUCACACAUUCAUUUGCUGCCGUGCAGUCCUGCCACAACAGUAGUUGUCACCCCGCCAUGACUUCUUGUGGAAAGUUUAAUAUUUUCUUUAGUGUUUAGUGUAGCCUGAACGGAUCACUCAACCCAUGGCUAUAAGCUACAUAAAUGUGUUAGGAUGAUUAACACAUAUAUAAAUAAUCUUACGGUUUGUUGAAAAUUACUCGAUCAUUGACAGUUUCUACAAUGUGUGCAAUAUUUUUACAUGCAAUGCCUCAUACUUUCAGAUCAACAAUGACUUCUGCCAGCAAAUGGGAAUAAAAAGGUGUGUCUCCAGCGCUUAUCAUCCCCAGACCAAUGGUUUGGUGGAAAGAGUAAACGGUAUGGUGAAACGCCGAGUAAGCAAGCUGUUGGUUGACCGUGGCAAAAACUGGGACGAGAGUCUGCAUGACAUCAUUUUCUCAAUAAACGCUCAGCCACAGUCAGCUACGAAGUACACACCAUUUUUCCUAAUGUUUGGUCGGGAAGCCCACACACUUUUGGAGAUCAAAGGUGUGGACUCUGACACUGACAUCAUAGAAGAUGGCAAGCUUGAGGAAUUUGUAGAAGACCAUGCAACCACCUACGAAAAGGCAUAUGAAAAGGCUCAGAUCAACCAAACAAAAGCACAUGCCAAGGCAAAAA